GGUUAAGUGACUAAGCGUACACGGUGGAUGCCUUGGCAGUCAGAGGCGAUGAAAGACGUAGUAACUUGCGAUAAGCCCAGAUUAGGUAGUAACAACCAUUUGAGUCUGGGAUUUCUGAAUGGGGAAACCCACGUGCAUAAGCACGUAUCCUUACCUGAAUACAUAGGGUAAGGAGGCGAACCGGGGGAACUGAAACAUCUAAGUACCCCGAGGAAAAGAAAUCAACCGAGAUUCCGAAAGUAGCGGCGAGCGAAAUUGGACUAGCCCUUAAGCUUUACACGCGUUAGACGAACGGUCUGGAAAGUCCGACGAUACAGGGUGAUAGUCCCGUAGUUGACGACGUGUGUUCAGUGAAAUCGAGUAGGGCGGGACACGUGAUAUCCUGUCUGAAUAUGGGGGGACCAUCCUCCAAGGCUAAAUACUACUGACUGACCGAUAGUGAACCAGUACCGUGAGGGAAAGGCGAAAAGAACCCCUGUGAGGGGAGUGAAAUAGAACCUGAAACCGUGUACGUACAAGCAGUAGGAGCAGGCUUUGUCCUGUGACUGCGUACCUUUUGUAUAAUGGGUCAGCGACUUAUAUUCAGUGGCAAGGUUAACCAUCUAGGGGAGCCGUAGGGAAACCGAGUCUUAACUGGGCGUUCAGUCUCUGGAUAUAGACCCGAAACCAGGUGAUCUAGCCAUGGGCAGGUUGAAGGUUGAGUAACAUCAACUGGAGGACCGAACCGACUAAUGUUGAAAAAUUAGCGGAUGACUUGUGGCUAGGGGUGAAAGGCCAAUCAAACCUGGAGAUAGCUGGUUCUCCCCGAAAGCUAUUUAGGUAGCGCCUCGGACGAAUACUACUGGGGGUAGAGCACUGUUAAGGCUAGGGGGUCAUCCCGACUUACCAACCCUUUGCAAACUCCGAAUACCAGUAAGUACUAUCCGGGAGACACACGGCGGGUGCUAACGUCCGUCGUGGAGAGGGAAACAACCCAGACCGCCAGCUAAGGUCCCAAAUUACUACUAAGUGGGAAACGAUGUGGGAAGGCUCAGACAGCCAGGAUGUUGGCUUAGAAGCAGCCAUCAUUUAAAGAAAGCGUAAUAGCUCACUGGUCGAGUCGGCCUGCGCGGAAGAUGUAACGGGGCUAAGUAGUAAACCGAAGCUGCGGCAAUACUCUUUGAGUAUUGGGUAGGGGAGCGUUCUGUAAGCGGUUGAAGGUGUGUGGUAACGCAUGCUGGACGUAUCAGAAGUGCGAAUGCUGACAUGAGUAACGAUAAAGGGGGUGAAAAACCUCCUCGCCGGAAGACCAAGGGUUCCUGUCCAACGUUAAUCGGGGCAGGGUAAGUCGACCCCUAAGGCGAGGCCGAAAGGCGUAGUCGAUGGGAAACGGGUUAAUAUUCCCGUACUUCUUACAAUUGCGAUGGGGGGACGGAGAAGGCUAGGUGGGCCUGGCGACGGUUGUCCAGGUUCAAGUGCGUAGGCUUAAGAGUUAGGUAAAUCCGGCUCUUUUUAAGGCUGAGACACGACGUCGAGCACCUACGGGUGUGAAGUCAUUGAUGCCAUGCUUCCAGGAAAAGCCUCUAAGCUUCAGAUUGUAAGGAAUCGUACCCCAAACCGACACAGGUGGUCGGGUAGAGAAUACCAAGGCGCUUGAGAGAACUCGGGUGAAGGAACUAGGCAAAAUGGUACCGUAACUUCGGGAGAAGGUACGCUCUUGAUGGUGAAGUCCCUCGCGGAUGGAGCUGACGAGAGUCGCAGAUACCAGGUGGCUGCAACUGUUUAUUAAAAACACAGCACUGUGCAAAAUCGUAAGAUGACGUAUACGGUGUGACGCCUGCCCGGUGCCGGAAGGUUAAUUGAUGGGGUUAGACUUCGGUCGAAGCUCUUGAUCGAAGCCCCGGUAAACGGCGGCCGUAACUAUAACGGUCCUAAGGUAGCGAAAUUCCUUGUCGGGUAAGUUCCGACCUGCACGAAUGGCGUAAUGAUGGCCACGCUGUCUCCACCCGAGACUCAGUGAAAUUGAAAUCGCUGUGAAGAUGCAGUGUACCCGCGGCUAGACGGAAAGACCCCGUGAACCUUUACUACAGCUUGGCACUGAACAUUGACCCUACAUGUGUAGGAUAGGUGGGAGGCUUUGAAGCACGUACGCCAGUAUGUGUGGAGCCGUCCUUGAAAUACCACCCUUGUAGUGUUGAUGUUCUAACGUCGACCCCUAAUCGGGGUUGCGGACAGUGCCUGGUGGGUAGUUUGACUGGGGCGGUCUCCUCCCAAAGAGUAACGGAGGAGCACGAAGGUGGGCUAAUCACGGUUGGACAUCGUGAGGUUAGUGCAAUGGCAUAAGCCCGCUUGACUGCGAGAAUGACAAUUCGAGCAGGUGCGAAAGCAGGUCAUAGUGAUCCGGUGGUUCUGAAUGGAAGGGCCAUCGCUCAACGGAUAAAAGGUACUCCGGGGAUAACAGGCUGAUACCGCCCAAGAGUUCAUAUCGACGGCGGUGUUUGGCACCUCGAUGUCGGCUCAUCACAUCCUGGGGCUGAAGUCGGUCCCAAGGGUAUGGCUGUUCGCCAUUUAAAGUGGUACGCGAGCUGGGUUUAGAACGUCGUGAGACAGUUCGGUCCCUAUCUGCCGUGGGCGUUGGAAGAUUGAAGGGGGCUGCUCCUAGUACGAGAGGACCGGAGUGGACGAACCUCUGGUGUUCGGGUUGUGUCGCCAGACGCAUUGCCCGGUAGCUAAGUUCGGAAUCGAUAACCGCUGAAAGCAUCUAAGCGGGAAGCGAGCCCUGAGAUGAGUCUUCCCUGAUACUUUAAGUAUCCUAAAGGGUUGUCGGAGACUACGACGUUGAUAGGUCAGGUGUGUAAGUGCUGUGAGGCAUUGAGCUAACUGAUACUAAUUGCCCGUGAGGCUUAACCAU
rnacentral:rRNA from 1 species